AUUGAACGCUGGCGGCAUGCUUUACACAUGCAAGUCGAACGGUAACAGGCCUUCGGGCGCUGACGAGUGGCGAACGGGUGAGUAAUGCAUCGGAACGUGCCCAGUCGUGGGGGAUAACGCAGCGAAAGCUGUGCUAAUACCGCAUACGAUCUGCGGAUGAAAGCGGGGGACCUUCGGGCCUCGCGCGUUUGGAGCGGCCGAUGUCGGAUUAGGUAGUUGGUGGGGUAAAGGCUCACCAAGCCAACGAUCUGUAGCUGGUCUGAGAGGACGACCAGCCACACUGGGACUGAGACACGGACCAGACUCCUACGGGAGGCAGCAGUGGGGAAUUUUGGACAAUGGGCGCAAGCCUGAUCCAGCAAUGCCGCGUGCAGGAAGAAGGCCUUCGGGUUGUAAACUGCUUUUGUACGGAGCGAAAAGGCUCCCUCUAAUACAGGGGGCUCAUGACGGUACCGUAAGAAUAAGCACCGGCUAACUACGUGCCAGCAGCCGCCGUAAGAC
rnacentral:rRNA from 1 species